GCCCAGAGCCAGUUGAAAAUGUCUGCCUUUGGGGCAUCAGUUCAGUCGCCAUGACAAUGCAUCUAGGCAAAGCUCUUGAUAUCUUGUAUGGCAGACUGGUCUGCCAGAUAGUGUCAUAGGCUGCUCUAAGAUCAUUUUGCUCCCUAGAAGAAACUCUCCCUCCAAUACAUGAUGCAACUAUUGUAAGAAUCCUAACAAGAUAAGCAGUUGAGAGAAUCUGAAUGUUGUCCCUCGUUUUCUUUUGCUAACCUUUUGCUAACCUUGCUCUGGAAAUCAGAAAACUAAGAGGAUGUGGAGUCACCUGCAACCAUUGCACAUUGGAUUCUCUUUAUACAGUAAUACCUCACACUUAUACAUCCCAAUCCUAUACAGAGGUUGUGGGAUCUGCAGCUAGACACACAGCUGGACAUACAGAUAAGCAUCCAUGAAGUUAGUGUACAGGAGAGCUAUUUGCAGAGGUGCUGCAAUAGCAGCUAACAUUCCAACCACGUGCACACAGACUGACUGCCUGGUGCCUCCUCCAGACUCUUCCCUCCUGCAACCUGGCCUCCUCUCUCC